CUUUUCCUCUGGACAGGUGUUGAUAAAUCUCCGCCAGUAAUUCUAUCCUAUACACUAUUCACUUCAGAGAUCACCUGUCAAGCUGCAUCACAUGACGGGGCCUACUAAACCAUUAAAGGAAAUGACCACCAGGGGUCUCCCUACCAGUCCUGGCAGCAGGGAUGUAAGGUGAACUUCAGAAGAGAUGGGAAUAUCGGCGCUGACCAAGGAGAGGACAAUAGAGCCAGGGGACGUUGACAUGCAGCAGAUUCAUCACAAAGGCUUGUGAGCGAAAACCUAUUCCAUAUCUUCCAAUGGUUGUUUAAGCAUCAAACAUCCAAGGCCCAUUCAGAUGCCUGUGAAAGACCAUCCAUCAUACUAUUUCUACCCAGUGUAACCUCUGGAAUGUACUCCCUGUACUGUUCAGCAUAUGCCGUGUGUGAUGAAUGAUUGGGAUAGUAUCUGGACAGCCGGCACAUUAAAGGAAGACUGUCAUCCCCUUCACCCACACUAACCCAAUACACCGGGUUAUAGUGCAGGGGAACAGGAGACCGAUGCGUGGUCUCUGACUUAUAUGCCUACUAGGGCUGCACGAUGUAUUGCAAAAGCAAACGAAUCACGAUUUUUGCUUUUGGCGAUAUAGCCCCAUGGGAAAACUUGCGAUUAUCUGCUUGGGCCGGCUCUCGUGUGCUUCUGCAGCUGGGGGCUGGCCAGAGAAGGUAAAAAAUGUAAAUACUAAAAGUUAGUGUUUGCUAACCAGGGUGCCUCCAGUUGUUGCAAAACUACAACUCCCAGCAUGCCUGGACCAGCAAAGGCUGACC